rnacentral:lncRNA from 1 species
UCAAGAAGUACUCUUUCAAAUUUAAUGUUGGAAGCCACAUUAAUGUUUCGGCUGGUUAAUAAAAUCCUGCUUCCGUUUUUAUUAUCCGGUAAGCAUCUGCUCAAGUAUUCCCAUGUGUCAACACUCCAUAUGUCAUCAAUGUAGAGAAGGUACUUCUUUCUUAACAGAAAUUUCCGCAAAGCAUCUGCUGGAUUUUUCUCAUUCUGUUGGUUAGAACAUUUGACUUGAUUUAAAAUUCCGAGCAGCAACUUUCUUUUGUCGUAAGUUUGGGAAACACGACACAUAGCUUGGAUGUCAAAAUAAAGCCGCAUUUUCUCAUCAUGAAAAACUUUCUUUGCUAGUGUAGUCUUUCCAAGACCAGGCAUCCCUACAAUAGACACAACAACUAGGCACUUUGGUCCUGUAGUGAGCUGUUCGAUUAGCAAGUCAGCCUCGUUCUUAAAACCCACCAUUACCUCAUCAGGUAGUGUAGUCUCAACUACUUGUCUGACAGGAUUUGGUGCUUGUUCUUCGAUUGGGACUUCAACUUCUUGCGUAAUCGUAGCAUGGAACUCUUUCAAAUGAUCCCUUACAACCUUAGUUUCUGUUGUGAUCUUACAUAACAAAUGUAGAUACCAAACAGGAUAAUCUCCGGUAACCAGGCAAUCAAUUAUGCAUUCUGCCUGGUAUGCUAGAGAUAUGACUUCUGUCCAUAGAUCAUGUUUCUUCACCUCCUCAAACUCAUGUUUUUUCUUCUCAACUUCCUUCAAGAAGUAUCUUAAGAGAUAUAACUCUUCCUGAGCUUCUUCAAUAAGAUGCUUGACAACAGAAUCACACUUUCCGUCUUGCAGCAGCUCUUUCAGAUAGCGUAAGAGAUAAUCGAUAAACCCCAAUCCAUUUGUCCUAGGAAAAUUACAUUUUGAUGACACUACAUCUUUCAGAAUCACAUCUUUUAGAUCUUCCAUGACAUGUUCAAUCUUUUUUAACAAGUCACUGAAUACCGAGUUAACUUCUGCUGCUUUGUCAACGGAGAAAGAGAAAGCAGCAGAUACUACCUCAGCAAUCGAAAGAGAAAGCAACAGAUACUACCUCAGCAAUCAGACCUUCAAUGCAAGUAAGUUUGUCACUCAUUUUUUCCUGUAUAACAUAUAAAUCUUCUGGUGGACAAAUGAGCAAAGUUACCAAUUGCUUUGAUGCUUCGGCAAGGCUUUUGAUUUGAUCCUUUUUAAGAGGAAGCAUCAAAGAACAUGCCUCACCGUCUGAUAACUCCAACAAAUCCUUGAAGAUGAAAUGAACAAAACCUUCAACAAAUUCUAUCACAUCCCGGCUGUAUUGGAUUUGCAAUUUAACUGAACCUCUUAGAGCUCCAGUAUAGAUUUCUGCAACGUCCGGAUCAAUGGGCUUGAUAUAUUUCAAAACAUGAGAGAUUUGAAGUGUCAACACAGAUGCUGAAUCUCCAUCCAUUUCUUCCACAUAACAAAGGUAACAUAUGUAUGCAGCAUUCACUGUGAUGCCCUCUAUAUGAUUAAAAAGAAUGUUGGAUUUCUCUAGCUCCAUGCUUGCAUCUUUUAUGAAAUUGAGGAAGGUUUUUAGAUAUUUUAGACUUUCUUCAAGGACUUGAAACUCUUUCUUCAGAAGUACAAACUUGUCGAAAUCUUUCUUGUUGAUGAGAAGAUCCUUCACAUUCUGAAGGAUGUGCUCAAUGAAUUUCUGAAACACUGGGCUGCAUAAAUUUGGUAAAGGCCACCUCCCUGGAACCAAUGAAAGGAGAAACUUAUAACCUUCUUUGACUUCAGCAGAAGAUAAGUCUGCCCUUGGUCCCGAGACAGUGUCACCGACUUGCAUUCCAUGUUCGCGCAAUCUCCCCUCCUUAAUCCUUCCUUUUUGAGUUGCCCAAAACAAAAAAGUACCAAGAAAUCUCCUCUCUAUUUCAGACAUUUGUUUUCCAGCAGAAUUUCCUCAGAGUGGAUAUAUGUCGACAGCUCUGCAAGCAAAGAGAUUAAAAGCAAAUCACAUUCUAGGACAAACAAUGCAUACUCCAUAAUCUAGUUGCUCUUCAUAUUGCGUGAAAUUAACACAGAAUUCCUUUAUAUGUUGAUUGCACUCUUCCUCUUGUAUCAGAACAUUAUGCUUGAUUGUAACUAACAAACAGAUAAUAUUUAAGAAAAAGAUGUGUGUGAUCACAAAUAACAAAAACUGUUUGGUUGCACUAAAUGUUUUCUGGAAAAUGUGAAGUUAUAUCUGAAAGUCACAAUGCAUACUCUUAACUCUACACAACUAGGGGAAUGGGGAAAAAAGUCACCAGGAAAAACAAUAACAGAAAAAGAACUGGUUCCAAAGAGUUCUGAUUGUCUACUACUUACUUUUGCCUAAACUAGUUACCCUUUGUUAAUCCAAGCAAGUGAAAUUGUACAAUAACUGAUACUAGGGUCAACCUUCAAUAUUUCUUAGAGAAUUGUCACGAUUUGUUUUUUGAUGCUCAGGACAAAAUAGUGACUUUAUAUAUCAAUGCUACUUAUGUGAUUUUGAUUGUCAGGAAGUUUGCUUCAAAAUAGUUAUUACUAUAUAAAUAUUUUCCUUUUGUUUUUCUUAUUUACUAUUUCUUAAUAUUUCAGUAUUUUAGACGAAGAAAGGUUCAUAUGACUUGUAAUAACGCUAGUUGAAGUUUGUAUUAGUUUAAUACUUAUUAUUUAUUUAAUAGCUAAUUUUUAUGCUAUAAAUAUUUUUAUUAAUGCAAAUAUCUCUCUCUCUCUCUCUCUCUCUAUAUAUAUAUAUAUAUAUAUAUAUAUAUAUUUGUAUUUAAAUUAAGGUAUUAUAUAUGUCACGACUCACAAAUGUAUUAUCAAGUUAACAAAAUCUUCUAACUUCAAUAUAUAUUAUUUUAAAAUGUUCCGAGUUCUUUUUUUUAAAAAAAAAAACUCACAACAAAUGUGAAAAUAUGUGAACAUAUAUGAAUCAUUUAAAAUUUAUCAUUAACAAAAUAAACUUUAUAAUCUGUAAUAUAGAAUAAACAUUUUCAUUUUGUCCCUACACUAAAUUAAAAUCUAAUCUAUCUAUCUAUAAAAGGAGAAGAAAAAGUGCCACGUGUCAGCACCACAAAAAAACUAUAAUUAUUAUUAUUUAAAAAAUUAAUUAAAAAACUGAUGGUAAAAAAACAAUAAUUACCAUUAAAAAAAUUUAAAAACUUAUUUUUAAAAAAUAUUUAAAACGGUCAAUUAGUAGUUAGUUGUAGAAAUGGGGUAGUUUUUUUUCCAUUCACUUUUAAAAUUUAUCUAUAUAUAUCUAAAAAACAAAACAUUUUAAAAAAACAUAAAUAAAAAACAGUUUUUAAAAAUUGUUGACCAAUAAUUUUUUAUAUUAUUAUACAGCCCCUAUAUAUGUGAUAACAUGGUGUUAUUUUUCCUUGGAUGAAUUAUGCUUAAGUUAAUAAAUUGAAAAUCGUUUACAAGUAUAUGAACUAUAUCUUUGUUGGGUGUAAGAUAAACAUGUGAUUAUAUAUAUGAUUUCACAAAUAGAAUAUAUUCUUUAAUUUUAAUUUUUAGUUUUUCGGGUAAAAAAAAAAAGGAAACUUUUCUCAGUUAACUAUGGACAGUUAGAUAACUAUCUUUGAUUUAUGUACACAAUCAAUCGAGAAGUCAAAUAUGAGAACCAACAACAAGAAUGUCAGUUAUUAUGUUAUAACUUACAAAAUAAAAAUUAAUAUACAAAAAAUAGUUCUAAAAAAUAAAAUUUUGUUGUUUUCUUCACAUGCUCAUAUGGCAUAUAAACAGUUUAACAUGGAAUACACGUGCAAAACACAUCUGGUUUGACAAGAAAAAUACACAACAAAUAUCGUCUAUAAGGUAAUAUUAGUGAGAUACGACUAAUUACAUGAUUGAACCUCAUCAAAUUGAAAUAAAUAUAUACAUUAUUGCAUUUAACUAAUAAAUUUCUUCAUUGACCAUCUUCAUAGGUUCGCGUGAAUAAAAGAUAUAUAUGACGAUCCACAUUGAACAUUCACAAAAGAAUUUGCAGUAUUAUUUUGUGCAAAGCUUAUUAUUCAAAUCUUCGCUUAAUUAAGCUAGCGGGUCACAGACGGAUUUCUCGGUUAUCAAAAAAAAAAAAAAAACUAUUUACUAUAACAUAUAUUUUUUGAAUUGGUAAUCACGUAUCGAAAAACUAGUUAAUACAAAUUAAGUUUGUUCAAAAGUCUAUCACGUACCUUUUGUAACAACUUUGACAGAGCAGAAAACAGUGAUCCAGGUUUCACUACUUUGUUCUAUACUUUUAACCAGAAAGAAGAAUGAACAAGAGAUUUUAGGACUCCGGAGAGCAAAGUCCCGUACUUGCUUCCCUGACUAAAUAUUUUCACUUAAUAUAAAGCAUAAUAAUGAAAUUAAAUUACACCUAAUGAAGAAUUAAAAAUGAUUCAACUUUAUUGUUGCAUUAUACCCCAAUACAUUGCAUUUCAUUAUGGCCACUUGUGAUGGUUAAGAAAUGGAAAAAAAAAAGAGUUGACCUUAAUACAUAUAUAAUCUUAGAGGUGUUGCUUUCAGCUAAUGCCACUUGCACAUAGAAAAUAUGGCUGAUAGCCUUACCAGGAGACCAUUUAUUAAAAUAUGGCAGGAAGUUAGUCAGAUAUAGCUCUAAGGUCACGACUCGGUAUCAUAUUAGAUCAUUGACAUCCCACAUUACCUUUUCAUUACUACUAAAUACCAACUGCCUAUAUAGAAAAUUAGUUCAAAGCCCUGCUUUUCGCCAACUUCAGAAUUUUGGAAAUAGAAAGGAGAGUUGACCUUACCUUAAUCAACGGAGUAUAUAAUAUUGAUCUUGGAGAAGUGUCUACGAAAUUUACCUUUUCGUAUGGUAGGAAAGAUGGUUUUUCUAUAUAUAUGUUCAUUUUUUCUUACACAACUCCAUAGCAGCCGUCUCUCUCUCUAAUUAGAUCAUUGAAAUAUCUCAUGAUUUACGGAAGAAAGUCCUCAUUUGCUGCUACCAAUUUCACCACUUUGUCAAACAUCAGUUAAUUGGCAAAGAAAAGUCAAAUAAGACAAAGUUAAACAUUCAUCUUGUCAUUGAUUUCACUCAUGAUAUUAUUAGUAUAGAAAGCAGAAUGAGGUAUACCAUAGACUGUACAAAAAAAUAGUCUGGUAAGAAAAAUAGAGCGUUAGCGAUCAUCUGUUAUCGGAACUAGCAAUAUGGAUCCUAACUCAUUAGAUCUUAAGCUAGCCAACUUGUAUAGGUGUUUCAGUACUAAUUCCCAUUUGAGAGAGAAUUUUAAACUUGUUUGUUGAAAUUAAUCCAACACAUUGACGGUGAAGCAAUAGUCCAUUACAUUGAUAUAUUACACCCUAUGUUCCUAAACACGUUGAAUGAUUCCCUGGUUAAUCUAGACGUGAAGAUCACUGCCCUGACGGCGAUGAGUAACUUCAUUCAACGGGUGGGAGUUCAAAGGUAGGGAGAGGUUUCAGGAUCUGUUGCCUGCGAUGAUGGACAUGCUGAAUGAGGCAUUGGAAGAAAAUUGUGAGGCAUCAGCUCAGUCUGAGUUCGAGAUUUUGAUUGAGUUGGCCAAGAAUGAGCCUAGCUUCUUCAGGAUGCAGCUUGUGGUUGUGGUGGGUUCCAUGUUUGAUAUAGCUGAAUGUGAGAGUUAUGAAAAGAAAACGAGACAUUUGGCGGUUGAAUUCGUGAUGACAUUGGUUGAGGCCAGGGAGAAGACCCCUGGCAUGAUCAAGAAGUAUCCAUUGUUUACUGAAAAAUAUUUUGCAAUUUUAUUGAAUUUGUUAAAGGAUGAGGUUUAUGACCCUCUCUUGCCUGAUCCUUAUGGUAGAUGGGAUAGCAAUGAUGAUUUAGUUUUUCUUAAGAUGUGUUUAAACCGGUUGUCCAAUGCGCUGGGUGGUAAGACUGUUGGUCCUGUUGCCUUUGAGCAGCUCCCUGCUUACUUGGCUGACGACUCGUGGCAGAAGCCAUGCGCAGCACUCUAUGCACUUGCUCAGAUUGUUGAAGGCUGCUCAGAGGUGUGUAUUUAUUGAUACACUACUAAGAAUUGCAUUUAAACUGAUUAGUUAACGAUCUUGGGAUAGCAGAAGGUCACCUUGAUUAUACUUUCUUCUGUUAUUCUCUAGACUAAGUACUUUGCUUGCUCUCAUCUCUUCUUCAUUAUAAUAGGUGAUGAUUAAGAAUAUGAAUCUAGUGGUGACAAUGGUUCUGGAUUGUAUGGGACAUCCUCAUCCUGGAGUCAGAUUCGCCUCCAUGGAAGCAAUUCGCAUGUUUUUGCGUUUAAUGCGUCCCCAUUUUCAAGAACAAUGUCAUCACCAAGUAGUGCCAGCAUUAACCAAAGCUAUGGAUGAUGACAGUGUACAAGUGCAGGUCUGUAUGUCCUACGAUGAUAUGAACUCCUUUGGAUGCUCGUAUCAUAUGUCCCAAAUUACAGUUGCAAAAUUUUCUUACUGAACCUUCUCAAUGGGCUUAACUUUAACUUUAUUAGAUAUAAUCCCUGCUCUAACUUUACUAUCUUCAUAUUUUCCUAGGUCAGUGUCAUACGCACGGUCUGGAAGUUCCUUGAGGUUGGCACGCCUGAAUAUUUGACACUUUACAUCCAUGGAUUACACAAUAAAUUGCUUCAACUGUCGUCACAUACUGUUGCGGCGGUACGUAUUGUAGACUAAGUGCAAGAGAAAUCAGAUCAUUUUCUUGAACAAUGAACAGACAAUAUUACGAAUACAUUUAAGGGAAACAACCAUAAUUUCCAAGUUCCCAAUAUAAUUAUCCCGCCCUCCUUUAUAAAUUCAAAGCUUGUUACUCCCUUGAAUGUCCUUGAGGUCUUUACUUGCCUGAUUUUUUUUUUUUGUUUUUGACAUGAAAGGUCCAAAAAUCAGCGUCACUUGUACUCGAUCGUUUGCCUAAGCAUUUUAAGGUAUUACCUAGUAAUUCUGCUUCAACUUUUAUUAAGAGUAUGUUGUAUUAAGCUGGUUAUAUAUAUAUUAAUAUUAACAUUACUUCAACAGGAGUUCUAUGGGAACAACUACGAAUCUAUUAAACCACUUUGGAAAGCUUCCCUGGUAGAAGCAAAUUUUCCAAGUAAAGAUGUAGAGAUGAUCAUGUCAAUGCGCAAACCUGGCAGUUCGGUAUUUCCAAAACAGGUCUUCCACCAGUUAUACCAAAUGGAUUCUAUACAUCUCACUGAACUUAGAGCUUAUUGUUUAUUCGUUUUCUAUUUUUCUAUUUAGAACUUAGAGAUUAUGGAAGCAGUUAUGUCAUUACAAGGAUCACAAGAGGAUGAUAAGGAUACAAGUACGAUCUACAAGCUAGAGGUAUGUGUUGUUGAGAAUAUCGUUAACUAAUAAAAUGGUGUUCUCUCUAAUAGCUUAAGCUUUUAGAUGAGAUGGUCACGCACUUCAACAUGUUAUCAGAGCAGGCAGAGGCCCUGGGAUCAAAUCUCUUCGCCACCUUUCAAAUUAAAAAGAAUUUCCACGUGCUAAUCAGUCAGACAUUCUUUCAAGAUUGGUCUCUCUAUAUUUCUUGAUCUCAUUGCAGGCUAUUAGUGUAAUUUGUGAGGACAGAGGGAAAGAUUUUCUUCCUUGCACCAGCAUUGUCAUGCCCCUUUUGUUUCAAUGUGCUCAACUCGAACCUGAUAAAAUCAUAUUAUCUCCAGAUUCAGACCAUACUUGUUUAGCUGAUAAUAGGUACGCCUUUUUGUCUGAUCAUUGCUCUGAGUGAUCGCCUUUUUAUGUACAUUAUAACAUCUUGCAGUAUACACAGAGUCAAGGUUGGCAAUUCAACGAUAUGUAUAAAAGAAAGUUCCCUAAAGAAGAAAGCUUUAGCAUGUAAAGCCCUAGUCAUGGUUGCUUACAAAUUGAAGGAAGACUUUUACCCAUGGAUUUUCCAGGUUGUCACACUUGGACUUCUCUCUUUUUCUUUCUUUCUACCCGUGCUUUUGAUCGCGAACUGAAAAUUUGACAAGUGGUUUCAAUGGCCUAAUGCUUGAUAAAUGAUACAGACUGCUUCAAUUUUAUUUCCACUUUUGAAAUUCCAUUUCAAAGAGGUCAGGUUCCAUACAGUUGAAGGUGAGAUUUCUCAGGAUUUCACAUAGUUAAUUUCUCCGUCUUUUAUAACUAUCUGAUCACCUCCAAGACUUUUUAAUUUGUAAUGUUUAUAGCGAUGAAGCACCUUUUGCAAUCUGCUAAACUGGCUGAUGAGAAAGGGAUUGCUCCAGGUGAAAGCCAUUCGGAUUUCAAGCAGUUUUCGGACAGUAUAAUACUGAAUUUGGUGGAAGCUUUGCAUGAGGUUUACUUUUAACAUUAAGCUUCUUCUAUUUGGAUAAUGAGAAAGUAACACUUUGAUUUCUAUAUAAUGCAGGAGCUUGAAACAGAGAUAUAUGUACAUAUGUUGUAUACAUUACGACUGUGCCUUCAGGUUCGUGAUCUUUAAACACUGCUUAUUUGUUUUGAUCCAAAGUUUUCAGUGUUUCACUAUGAGCUAGGUAUGAAGUUUUUUGAAAAUGUUGCCUAUGUGGACCACUUCUCAAUGAAGAUCAGCUUCGUCCAGUCGUGGAUGAGAUAAAGCAUGUCAUUACAGAAAAUUUAAAUAGCCAAGGAAAACUCACAGAGAGAGAAAAAACAGAAGACUUCGAUGCUGAGGAAGCUGAAUUGCUGAGAGGGGAAAAACAUCAACAAGAUCAAAUAUUUAAACUUGUAUGUUCUAUAUUAAAACAGGAACUAAAGUGAUACACUGUUGUCUUUAUAUAUUCAAGCAUUUUCGCUUUGGUUCUGCUGUUAUUCUUGAACAGGCUGGUGGCAUAUUAGGUAGACUAAUCGAAUCAUUCAAGGUUGUUUUCUUGCCUUACUUUGACGAGCUAUCAUUAUAUCUGAUUCCGAUGUGGGUAAGUUCAUUGACACUAUUGUAACAUGACGUUAGUUUAUCAUUAUUCAUAUCUAGCAUAUCUUAUUGUUUCCGAUUUUUGUUAAGGACAAAGAAAUGACAAGUCUAGAGAGAUGUACAUCACUUUAUAUCUUUGGUGGUCUUGUGAAGCAUUGCUCUGAAGCAGCUCUAAAGUGAGUUUAAUUUAUCUGUAUGAGUUUUUCUUAAAUUAUUGGGGUGUCACCAUUUUGAUAAAUCACUUACUUCCUAUGCCAACUAGGUACUGUAAUGAAUUUCUACCUUUGCUUCUGAAAUCAAGCAAUGACGAAAACCCAGCAGUUAGACAGGUUUGGAUCAUCGUGAUUGCUUACAUUCCUGUUACUCAAGUUGGUUGCUCACAGUAUGGUUUAACCAAAACACCAAUGACUUCAUGUUCAGAAUGCUCUACAUGGACUUGGGUUUUAUGCAGAAUAUCAUGGUUCUGUUUUCAAACCUUUUGUUAGAGGUAUUAAUAUUGUUGAAUGUGAUACUUCUAAUCAAGCAAGUGUUUUUGUUAACUUACGCGUUUAUGUUCAGAGGCUAUGUCACGGAUCAAUGUAGUGAUAAUGCAUUUACGUGCUCGUGAACCUGAGAAUGAACUUGCAUAUGAUAGUGCUGUUUUUACCCUUGGUAAAAUAUUUCAGUUUCAUCGAGAACUUAUCGACUCAGCCCAGGUUUGUCCUUCUCAGAAUCCCUAAUGUUAAGUCUUGUUAUAAUUUCUGAUUCUGAAUCCUUGUGUAGGUCAUUCCCAUUUGGUUGAAUUGCCUGCCUGUAAAAGGUGACUAUGUUCAUGGUCAACUAUGUUCCAUGGUUGAAAGGUAUUGGAUUUGUUUGCAAACUCUAAUAUGUCAUAUCUUCAUAAAAUGCAGGAUUUUAUCCCACGUUUAGUUGAAAGUAUUAUGUAAUCAUAAGACUAUUUAUCCCACCAUUUAUACCUUAGUGAUGUGAUAAGUUAUUUCAUUCCGAAAUAGUUGAUGUCAGGAUAACUUAUUCCAAACCAAAUGACCCAUUAAUGAUUUAUCAAAUUUUCUCAAUUUCAGGUCAGAUAGAGAACUUUUGGGUACCAAUUAUGAACACUUCCCAAAAAUUAUGUCAAUUUUUGCAGAGGUUAGUUCCAUAUCAGAAUCUAUAGAUGCCAGUUUGAGUUGUUUAUUUGCUCCUGAUAAAUAUUAAAUGAGAUAAGUAUUGAAAACAUUCUUAGAUUAGGUGUAAAUUAUUAAUUUCAUAAUCGAACUAUUGACAAUCUUAAAAACACUCAAUUCUUUGACUAACUAAACUUACACUUCUGAUCUUGCAACAUGACCGAAAUACAUCCCUAAUUUAGGGGUGCUUUCAACACUCCUCUAUGAAAUAUGGCAGAUCAGAGAUGUAUCUAAGUUUAAUCUGGUCAAAUAGAGGUGUAUUUUUAAGACUAUCAAUAAUUCAAGAACGAAACGAACAAUUUGUGUCAAGUUUAAGAGUGUUUUUGAAUCAAACUAAAGACUUUUUUUAUUCAAUUUCGUAUAGUUAAUUUAGUUUCACUUUUUAAGGUUAUAUGUGGUGGAAAACAUCUUGCUACAGAAGAAACAACAAAGUGUAUGAUUAAUCUGUUGAGGAAUCUUCUUAAAGAACUACCACCAGACACUUUGACAUCAGCAUGGUCAUUGAUAUUGCCUCAGCAAGAAAUGGAACUAAAAGCCAUUUUAUUUCCUGGAAUACUUCAUGUGGUACGUUUUCACAACAAAACAUUUUGUAUGCUUGACACUGAUACCAAUGAAAGCUCUCCCCCUUACUCUUUACCAUCCAAAAUUGUCAAACUUCUCGAGGAAGAACAUCAGAAAAAUAGUAUUAUUGUUCCACAAAUGUAACUUAUAAACCAUAAAUUGUUUCUUUAAAGUUUUGUAUCAUUUAAGUAUACAAGAUGAUACUAUAGUUGAUUUGUGGGGAAUUGAAUAUGUAAUUAUCAUUAGACUAUCUAUGUUAUAUCUUUUUACGAUUUAUCUAUCCAUUUGGAAUUUCUUUAUUUUAGUUUUUCAUAAGUUGAAAUUCAUAUUGUGGCAUAUAAUUUAAAUAAUUGUUUAUUAAAAUUAAACAAGUCAAACCUUAAGGACCUAAAAUCUAAACCUGACGGCAUAAACCCUGAGAGGUCGUUUGGUGUGAAAGAUAACUUUAAAUAGUCCUACGAUUAAAUUAUAAUGUCACUAAAUUUGUUGUUUGAUUGGCAAUUUCGUGAUAACUUAUCUCAUGAUUAAUAAUUAAUACAAGGAUAAAUUAUCCCUUCCCUUGGAUGGUACAAUAAUCCCGAGACAAUUUAUCACAAGAUAAAAUGACUAAAUGACAAAAAUAUCUUUUUAAACACUUUUUAUACAUUAUUUUUCAUAUUCAUGAACGGUAUUUUUGUAAGCAUAUAUGUUGUUCUUAAGAUUUAUUAUUUUGAAUACAACAAACCAAAAAUUCAAUAAAAAAUAAUAUCAAUAUAACUUAUUCCAUCAUAACUUGAAUUCAAACCAAACGACUGCAUCUUAGAGCCCAAAAAAUAAACUCAAAACUCAAAAUCAUAAACCCUAAACCUUAAACCUUAAACCUUAAACCUCAACCUUAAAGUCUAAACCAUAAACCCAAAACUCAAAAGCUUGGGGCCUAAAACCUAAGAUUUACGAUUUAUGGUUUAGGAUUUAGACCAGGGCUGUCUUAACCCCUAGGCCACUAAAGCCAUCGCUUGGGGCCCCAUAUAUUUUGGGGCCCCCAUUUAAAAAAACAAUUACUUAUAUAUGUUAUUUAAAAAAUAAUAAUUAUAUGUAUUAUGAGUGUUAUGAUUUCUACUAAGGAAAUUGCAUAUGAGAUGAAAAUAAACUGAAUUUCGUAAGAAACAAUUUGAUGAAAAUGUGGAUAGCGAAAUCACAAAGUCCUUUGAAGAACCUUUUAGAAUUGGUUGUUUUAUAUAUGUAGAGUAGAUCAAACUAUUUUUUCACUUCAAAAUAGAUUUAAAUCAAUUGAAACAUAUGGAAAUAUUUUUGAUUUCUUAUUUAGUGGUAAAAUAUUGAGAUCACUAGAUGAACAUAUGGAAAUAUUUUUGAUUUCUUAUUUAGUGGUAAAAUAUUGAGAUCACUAGAUGAACAUAUGGAAAUAUUUUUGAUUUCUUAUUUAGUGGUAAAAUAUUGAGAUCACUAGAUGAUGAGAAUUUUUUUUUUUGUCUUAACUUUGAACUUUCUUUAUCAUGUGAUAGUUAUUAUGAUAUUGAUGGUUUAGAUUCAUUUUUUGAAUUAAAAGUGUUAAGGGAAAUAAUACAAGUAGAAGAUAAUGAUCUAAUGAAAAUNNNNNNNNNNNNNNNNNNNNNNNNNNNNNNNNNNNNNNNNNNNNNNNNNNNNNNNNNNNNNNCUCAAUCAAAUAAAAAGACUUGAUUCUUUUCCAAAUACUCAUAUUGCUUAUAGAAUAAUGUUAACAGUUCCUGUAACUAUUGUCUCAGCCGAAAGAAGUUUUUUGCGAAAUUAAAAUUGAUUAAAUCUUCUUUAAGAUCAACAAUGUCUAAAGAGAGAUUGAAUGAAUUAGCUAUAUCAUCAUUUGAAAAGAAAUUAUUAAAACAAAUUGAUUAUAAUAUAGUACCUAAUGACUUCACAUCUAAAAUAGCUAGAAAAGUAGAUAUUAAAUAAAAGUAUUUAUGAUGAAAAAAAAUUAGGGCCUCUCUCUUAAGUUUCGCUUUAGGCCCCCAAUGUUGUUGAGUCGGUCCUGAUUUAGACUCUAAGAUUUAUAUUUUAGGGGUUAUAGUUUAUAGUUUUGACUAUAAGAUUUAGGAUUUAAGAUUUAUAAUUUUAGAGUUUAGGCCUUAUGGUUAAGUGUUUAGAGAUUAAGAUUUAUAAUUCAUGUAUAAAUUAAAAUAUAGGGUUUAGGUCCAAGGUUCAUAUGGUUAUUUGAGGUCAAUCUUUAAGAAUAAUUGAACCAAACCCAUUUGAACCCAAAAUAAAUUUGAACGCAUUGAUCAACUUCGUGAUUUUUUUCUACACUUUUGACUCUUCAUCACCUUUCUACAAUUACAAUUGUUUCACAAAUCCUUUUUUAAAAUCUUUCAAAACAUAAUUAUAAAAAAUAUCUUUGUAAAUCCAUUCUAUUUCCUAAUCCCUUUCAUAAAACAAAUAAUCAAAAUAGCCUCAGAAGGAAGGCAGUAGUAUAGUCAUAAUCAUUAUUUUGAUCAUUAACGCAAAUCUACUCAUCAUCGGCAAAAAAAUAAUAAUUAAAAGAAACAAAAAAACAAUUAUUAUUGUAAUGCUUGAAAGUUUUGCAAUUUUCCUAAUUCAAAAUUAUUGACUAUCGAUUUUGAUAAUGUAUUUCUCAAAAUUGUUGUGUGAAAUACAUGAGUAAAAUUUUGACUAUCAAUAAUUUUGACAUGAGUAAAAUACAUCUGAACUCAAAAUUCAAAAUACAUUUCAAAACUCAAAAUUAAGAGUCAAAUUUGAGCAUAAAAUUUAGGACUUGGAAUCUAAACUCAAAAUUUGAAAGCAUAUACCUUAGGGCAUAGACCCUAAACCUUAAGAGCCUAAACUCUAAACAUUAUGUCCAAUUUUAUGAACCCUAAAUCUUGAACCUUAAAUCCCAAGUCAUAAACCCUAAAAUCUUAGAACUUAACCCAAAACUCUAAACCUUAAAGCCUAAACCUUAAACCUUAAACCUUUAAAUCCUAAAUCUUAAUGUUUAGGAUUUAUGAUUUAUGGUUUUAGAUUUUAAAAUUUAAGAUUUAGAGUUCAGACAAUAUGGUCAAGAGUUUUAAGUUUUAUGAUAUAAGAUUUAGGCCUUAAAAUUUGAAGUUUAGAUUUUAACAAUUAGCCUCUAAACUUUAAGAUUAAAAAUACAGCAUUUGAACAUUAUUAUAAUAAAUAAUUAUGUAGUACCCCAACGUCCAAAUACACCACAAAAAUUAGAUGCAGAGGAUAGCGAGGGGAACAUUAUUAUAGCUUCACUUGCUAAAGUACCACACCAUAAAAGUGUAAUCCACAAAAUAUAAUUAGCAAAGCAUAGAACAAUUAACAACAACAUACCCAAUAAAAUCCCCACAAAUCCACGCAAACCUUAUCAUUAUCUCGUAAAAAAAAAUAAAAAAAUAUGAAAUUAAUUCAGUCCCUUAGAUGUUCAAUUAAUUGCGAUCAUCUUCGCAAAUCAUUACAGGUCUGUAACUGUAAAAAAUUAAUCAUCAUUGUUGUUUCAGAAAAGGGUCAAAAUUGUCCCCGAACUAUAUGAAAUAGACCAUUUAUACCCUUCGUUACAUUUUGGGAUCAAAAAUGCCCCUGCUGUUAUCCUAAGAGACCACAAAUACCCUCAAGAGUUAACACCCCAAAUUUUUGUUGAUGUGGCAAGCCACAUGGGACUAAUCCUUCCACCUAAGAGUUGCCAACUAGGAUUCACUACAAAAGAACUAGACUUUUAGCGGCAAUAACAGUCGCCACAAAAGCCCAGAAAAUCGUCACUAAAAGUUUUUAACAUUAAAUUCUAAUUUUGUGUUUUUUUCUUCAUUGUUUUUAAAAAACCAAAUAUGAUAUCGAUUAAGUAGGAGUUUGAAGACACUAUAUGUUUUAUUUUUAUGUCAUAUGUAAAUGUAUAAAAUGUACAAUGAUGCAUUAUAUAUAUAUAGUAGGAGAUUUGAAUCGAGAAGUAAUUUUGAUGAUUUUUCGUAAUAAUAUUGGAUAUUUUUAAUAUUGAUAUUGCAAAGUUAUUUAUUUUAGAAAAUUAGGUUGCAAUCGAAAAUUAAUUAUCAUAUUAUUUUGUUGAAAAAAUAGGUUUUACUAGCGAAUGGUUGUUGGAGCGUUAGUCGCCACUAAAAAUCACUCAUAACCUUUAGUGGCAAUAUUUUGAGGUUUUGUGGCGACUUUGUCGCCACUAAAAGUCAAGUUCUUUUGUAGUGAAUCUUAGUUGGCAAUGCUUAGGUGGAGGGAUUAGUCCCAUGUGACUUGCCACGUCACUAAAAAAUUGGGGUGUUUAACUCUUGAGGGUAUUUGUGGUCUCCUGGGAUAACUGCGGGGGUAUUUUUGAUUCCAAAAUGUAAUUGAGAGUAUAAGUGGUCUAUUUCGCAUAGUUCAGGGUCAAUUUUGACCCUUUUCCGUUGUUGUUUUCAUAUACAAUGAUUAGAAUAAAAUAUAUAUAAAAAUUUUUGAUGAACAAACUCAGUCCCUUAGAUGUUCAAUUUUUUGCGAUCAUUUUCGGCAAAUCAUUACAGGUCUGUAACUGUAAAAAAUUACUCAUCAUCGUUGUUCAUCAUCAAAAAACUAUUAUGAAAAAAAUUAAAAAAAAAGUUGUGGCUGCACCAAUUGUUCUCCACAGAUUAAAUUAAAUGAAGAGAAAGAUGAAAAAGGAACAACACACUUAUUAAUGCUUCAAGGGAACGAGUUGGUCAAAAAUAAAUUAUUUCUUGCCAACCAGAUUAAAGAAGCAUAUAACUCAAAAUAUAUACACAAAAAUAAUAAAUUUAUUUAGAGUUUAGAAGAUAUAUCACCAUCUAGCUGGAUAUGAUUAUUAUGCAUAAUGAAUAAAGGAAACAGCUUAAGAGAAAAACUGGUCCGUUAGAUCUCCUCUUUCAAUCGCAAUCUUCUAUUUCUGCACAGCAAAGAAACACUUCUCAAAUAUAUUUUACGAAAGAUUUAACAGGUAAAAGUGUACAAGCUCAAAAUAUGAUGCAAUUAAUCUUGAGUCAGUUACCUGUUAAACCAGUGUUGCCGCUUUUUAUAUGCAAGGGGUAAAUAAGGACCUUGAGCUCUGCAUUUGCAUAUCCUUCUUGCACUUCUUGAAUGUCCUUGACUGAUUUUUCAAGAGACUCACCACAUCGUUUCACUUCAACGUAUCAGAGCCUAAGGGCUCAAAUCUUUAGAUUCUCUAAAACAAAAUUUCAAUAAGGGGUCUACAGUAUAAAUAAAAUUUUAAUAUUCAAACAUUUCAAUAUUAUUUAAAUUAAUUUACCUUAGAGAUUGACAUAAUUCGAAAACCAAAUACCGAAUAAAUAAUUCAUAAAACUGAAAUUAUCAUCGCCGGACCAGUGACCACUAGUACCUCCAAACAACUCAAAAACAAACUACCACCCGAUCACACCAAAUCGGUCGUUACAUGAAAUGAGACAUUUCAUGGUAACGAUGGAUCUAAAUGAUACAAUACAAUAAAAUUUAAGUAACAAUCAACAUAAGUAUUGUAUUUAAACUAACUAUACAAUAUAAUGGGUAACAACCAUCCAAACAAGGUGUUAAUGUAAAAGCAUACAGAAUAUCAUAUAAUAAAGUUCAUAUAUCAAUGCAAUGGAUCCAUUGAAAGAAAGUAUUUUGAAGUACACACAAAACUCAAAAACAAGAAAAUUAUCCAUCUAGCUGGAUAUGAUUAUGCAUAAUGAACAGAGGAAACAGCUUAAGAGAAAAACUGGUCCGUUAGAUCUCCUCUUUCAAUCGCAAUCUUCUAUUUCUGCACAGCAAAGAAACACUUCUCAAAUAUAUUUUACGAAAGAUUUAACAGGUAAAAGUGUACAAGCUCAAAAUAUGAUGCAAUUAAUCUUGAGUCAGUUACCUGUUAAACCAGUGUUGCCGCUUUUUAUAUGCAAGGGGUAAAUAAGGACCUUGAGCUCUGCAUUUGCAUAUCCUUCUUGCACUUCUUGAAUGUCCUUGACUGAUUUUUCAAGAGACUCACCACAUCGUUUCACUUCAACCAUCUUUAGAGUAGCAAUAUGUCCAACCAUGGAAGGAAUUUCUCGAAGAUUAAAGCAGUUUUCUAUAAGAAUGUGUUCGAGGUUGGGAAAGGACUCAUCUGAUGCAUUCCAUGUUGUUAUUGUAAGGGAUCUUAAUUUAAGAACCUUGAGGUUCAGAAACUCUUCAUCUUCGAUCUCCCAUUUGUCCUGCUGAAAUGCUCUAUGUUCCAACUUGAGAACCACUAAAUUUGGUAAUCUUCCGAUAUUAGACAGUUCACUUUGUGGCAACAAAACAUCUGAUAGAGUUAGCUUUGUUAGUGUCGCGGGCAAGGUGAAAUUCAAAAUCUUACCGUUUACACUGAGUGUUUCAAGUUGAAGAGCAUGUAAUUUGAGUUUGAGAGGCUCUUUACAGUGGCAUUUGAGCUUUCGCAGUCUGCUUGCCUUCUUGACCAUGUAGUCUACUAGCUCAUUAGUGAGAGACACUGUGGCCAAGGUCUCUAUGUUUGUCGAUGUCUGAGGAAUGCGUCCAUCAAAAGAUGCAACAGGUUCAACAUGUACAUGCUUUAGCCUUGGCAUAUUCCAGAUGGUCAUCGGUAAAAUUGUGCCACUGCCUACUGUUAUUACAAGCAAUACCUCUAGGUUUGAAAGGUUCGAUAUCCAUAAUGGCAUAGAUACCAUAUAGCCUUUGAUUCCUAAGUACUUCAAAUGGAUCAGCUCUUUUGAUCUCUGGAAUGAACUCUCCGACAUAGUACAUUCCAUUUGUAGUACUCUUAAUAGUUUAAAGUUCUCAAGAUCAAGAAAUUCCUGGCAGCCAGAUUUCGGGGGUCUGAAGAAUGCAGAUCGAACUUGCAUGUUUCCAAUCUUCCCUGCCCAAUAAAGGCUAUGAUGAAUGCAAAGCCUCCGGUGCUCAUAAAAGGAACUAGACAAAUCAGUCUUCCCGGUGCUUGUUAGUUGCAUAAACUUCUCUUCCUUAGACUUUGUCAUGCAAAAAUCAUGUAACAUAUCAUGAAUGCGGCAUGUUCUGACUCCUCCAGUGGACUUUCUCUUGCUCACCAUUAUCAAGCUUCUACCAAUGAGAUCAUUCAGUAAACUUUCUACAGCAAGGUGUAUACUUUCUACCUCUAUGUUUGGCACCAAUCCCUCAAUAGUCCAUAACCACUCCAAGUUCGAGAGUGGAAUUUCUUCAUCCUUUUGAAAUGAUGCAAAAUAUAGAAGGCAGGGUUUGAGAUGAUCAGGCAAGUGCUUGUAGCUCAGUUCUAUAACCUCCAUGCACUCUUUUGCACUAGUAACAGUAUCUAACUUUAUACUCUCUGCGACUCUUCUCCAACUUUCCUCAUUUUCGCUUAUCCCAGACAAAACUCCAGCAACCAAAAUCACAAGGAGAGGUAGUCCUUUACACUUACUCGCGAUGUUUGCUCCUACUUUUGAUAGGUCUGGUGGGCAAGUUUGUUCCUUGAACAGCUUGAUUUUCAUUAGUUCCCAACUUUCAUUUUCGUCAAGAAAACGAAGUUCAAGAGGUUCUCUUCCACGUGUAAUGUUGGAAGCCACAUCAAUGUUUCGGCUGGUUAAUAAAAUCCUGCUUCCGUUUCCAUUAUCCGGUAAGCAUCUGUGCAAGUAUUUCCAUGUGUCAACACUCCAUAUGUCAUCAAUGUAGAGAAGGUACUUCUUUCUUAACAGAAAUUUCCGCAAAGCAUCUGCUGGAUCUUUCUCAUUCUGUUUGUUAGAACAUUUGACUUGAUUCAAAAUUCCGAGCAGCAACUUUCUUCUGUCAUAAGUUUGGGAAACACAACACAUAGCUUGGACGUCAAAAUGACGCCGCAUUUUCUUAUCAUGAAAAACUUUCUUUGCUAGUGUAGUUUUUCCAAGACCAGGCAUCCCUACGAUAGAAACAACAUCCAAGUACUUUGGUCCUAUAGUGAGCUGUUCGAUUAGCAAGUCAGUCUCAUCCUUAAAACCCACCAUUACCUCAUCAUGUUGUGUAGUCUCAACUACUGGUCUGACAGGAUUUGGUCCUUGUUCUUCAAUAGGGACUUCAACUUCUCGCGUAAUCGUAGCAUGGAACUCUUUCAAAUGAUCCCUUACAACCUUAGUUUCUGUUGUGAUCUUACAUAACAAAUGUAGAUACCAAACAGGAUAAUCUCCGGUAACCAGGCAAUCAAUUAUGCAUUCUGCCUGAUAUGCUAGAGAUAUGACUUCUGUCCAUAGAUCAUGUUUCUUCACCUCCUCAAACUCAUGGUUUUUCUUCUCAACUUCCUUCAAGAAGAAUCUUAAGAGAUAUAACUCUUCC